ACACAUUUUCCUUCUUAAACUAUUAUUGAAGGAAAAACUACCGCGCGAAGUUUUGCAAUGGGGUAUUAGUACAUUCACCCUAAUAGUACACUUUCUCUCCAAUUCCAAGUAGCAUGUCGGCGUUGCGAUUUAAAUUUUUCCUCAGAGAUACUGCAGUUCGAAGAUUUUGGAAUACAUGGACUCGAAAUUAUCUUAUAAAUACUGUAGUGAGAAAGUUCAGACGUGACAGGGGUGUCAGGGAGGUUAUACAGUGUUUCAAACAAGUAAUUUUCCGGCCACGGCGAACCUUGCUGUUGACGGCCACGGCGGUGUGUAAAGGUCGUGAUAAAGGGUUCCCCUGCGAGCAAGGCAUAUCUGAUAAUGAAUUACAGGAAUUGCUGGAUGAAAUGGAAGGGCUUGAUAAAUUGGCUAAGCUGACUGUCUAUUGCACAAGUUGUGGAAAAAGAUUAGUGAUUGAUAAAAAACAGAAUGGAGUCUCAUACUGUGUAUGCAAAGACUCGAAACCUAGUCAAGAAUCCGUAGACGGUUGGGUGCCAUAUAUGGAAGCAGUUGAUGUUAUUAUAUGGAGGAAGGAGUACAAGCCGGGAACUGGGCAAUAUGCAUAUAAAGUCUAUGGCCGGUACCCGGAAGUGUCAGCCAGUGAUUACGCGGCCGUACAAAUAGAUGGCGCUUAUCGAAAGGCCUGGGAUAGUGCGGUGGCUGCGUUGUCUGUGGUGCAGAGAGGUGCUCAUGGUAUUGCUGAUCAGGCGGUCAUGCAUUGGGAGGUUCUUUGGCCUAGACUAUUCGCGAAUCGAGAUUACGUAUACAUAAGACGUCACAAGGAAGUCGAGCUAACGACACCAAAGACGUACGACUUCACUAGCGUGCACGCGAAAACGAGACAGAAAUAUGACGAGCAGGCGAGUGUGAGGGAUGGCAAUAAGGUGUAUAUUAUACUAUCGAAAGCGUGCGAACAUCCAGACGUACCGGAAACGAAGCACGCGAUCCGAGUCACGGAGUAUUGGAGUCAUAUGGUUGUUAAGACCAUACAUGGUGCUGAUAAGCCCGGUAUGGAGUUCGUUCUAACGUACUACGAUGAGCCGGCCGUGGGCGGGAUGCCGGGCGGGGUCGCCGCUUGGGCGUCGAGUCGUGCCGCCCCCGACUACUUGUUGAAAAUGAGAAGAGCAGCUACGGAAUAUAGAAGCUGGGCGAAUCGGAGGGGUAAACAGAAUUGGACGCAGCGGAGGAGUAGACAGGAUUUACCAGACUUCACACCAUUUGGCCCUGACGAAGUGAGUUUCGAAGAGAACGUUGAACAAAUAAACGAACAGGAUAUGGAGUCGUCAAAAUUAGGUCCAGAUUUAGAGUGCGAUUUGGAAAAGAAAGAUAAAGAAACACAGACGGAUAUAAAUGAUAAAAUUGUAAAAACAGAGGAAACAGCAAAUACAGAGAAAAAUGAGAAAAACGAAGAAAAUGUGGAAAGCAAAGUAGAAGCCCAAAGUGAAGCACAAGGGGAUACUGAAAAGACAGAAAGUGUUAAACCAAGUGAACGGGGGGAAAGUGAAGAGGAAAAAGGGGAAAAAGAUACACAGGAGGUCAACAAUGAAGACAACGGAAACGGUAGCUGGUGGAGAUAUUUGUAUCCUUUCUAUUAUUUUGUAUAGACCUGUCAAAAAUGCUGACACGGUGAAAUAAUCUGACAGUGUUCCUGUUUGUAUGUCGAAAUUCAUUUAACUAUGACUUUAACUGUCAUGAAAACGUCAAUGAUGUUGGGUGCUGUGUCAAAUUUGUUGAUGAUAACGGUAUUGUCACUGUCAAAAUGGUCGGUUUUGACAGCACUGUAACUGUCAUUCGAUUGUAUCAAAUGUGACUGAUGGACUGUGUCAGUGGUCGAUUUACUAUACCAGGGGCUUGAGAUAAAAACACUGCGACGGGCGUGUCCCAUAACGCCAAAGGAAUUUGUAUGGCGAUGACAUUAGCUCACGAUCACGUGACCAUUUUCAUACAUUCGUUUGGCGUUAGUCAGUCACGACUGUUGAGAAGCGAUAUUCUCUCAAUCCCAUGGUCUUUUACAUGCAUGGACAGUAUUAUUUGUAGUAGAAUAAAGUUUUAACCUUAAAUGAUGGGUCGAUUUAACUGUUAUAGUGAAUUUUAACAUAACAAUAUGUCAAAGCUGUGCGGUACUGUCACUGUCAAAAUGUUCUGUAACUGUCAUAAUGACAGUGUUAAAUGUGUGACUUUGACGGUAGUAUGACAGUGGUCGAUUUUAAUUAUAGACAAAAUCACUUCGGGAUAGGGGUGACCAAAAAGAACUCCAAAGGAGUUUGUAUGGGCAUGGUCACGUGAUAUGUAGUACCCAUUGAACUGUGCCAUAAGCCAAAAAUGUCCACCUUAAUAGGAUUUAUACCUGUAUUCUAAACGUCAAAUUAUCUAGUUUCAAGAGCUUUUUUUCUGUAUAGAUAGAUUAAGGGUCUGUUUCACAAUGUAUGGAUAAAGUACCGAAUAGCUA